rnacentral:rRNA from 1 species
AAGAUGGCGACCGGCGCACGGGUGAGUAACACGUAUCCAACCUGCCGAUAACUCGGGGAUAGCCUUUCGAAAGAAAGAUUAAUAUCCGAUGGUAUAUUAAGAUCGCAUGAUUUUACUAUUAAAGAAUUUCGGUUAUCGAUGGGGAUGCGUUCCAUUAGUUUGUUGGCGGGGUAACGGCCCACCAAGACUACGAUGGAUAGGGGUUCUGAGAGGAAGGUCCCCCACAUUGGAACUGAGACACGGUCCAA